rnacentral:tRNA from 1 species
GGGGCUAUAGGGUAGCUUGGUUAUCCUCUCUGGUUUGGGUAUAUCUUAAUAUAAAAAAACCAGAAGACCCCGGUUCGAAAAAGGACUCUCAAAAGGGGUUCCCGAAAGUCCGGGUAGCCCCA